GCGACCCUGCUGUGCACGUGUUUGCCCAUAUACGUUUUGAGCCAACAAGUCUUUGAAACGGGGGCUGUCUCUUCAGAGAGGAAUGCGAUAGCCGCGAGGCAAGGCAGACCACUGAGCAAGCCUCCAUCUUACGCAGGCAAGUUCAAAACUCAUGGGCACACGACACUGUGGGGUCACC
rnacentral:other from 1 species